rnacentral:rRNA from 1 species
UACGUAGGUGGCGAGCGUUGUCCGGAUUUACUGGGCGUAAAGAGCGUGUAGGCGGCCAAACAGGUCCGUUGUGAAAACUGGAAGCUCAACUUCCAGACGUCGACGGAAACCGUGUGGCUAGAGUCCGGAAGAGGAGAGUGGAAUUCCGUGGUGUAGCGGUGAAAUGCGCAGAUAUCAGGAGGAACACCCGUAGCGAAGGCGGCACUCUGGGCCGGAACUGACGCUGAGGAGCGAAAGCGUGGGGAGCGAACAGG